UUGUUCAAUGCAAUGCAAUAUGAUAUGGAAACUUGAGAAUUGUGAUCCUUCGGCCGACAUUUAGGUAUGCAAAAUGAUGAAUAUUGUAUUUAAUUUGUCGUGUCUUGUACUCCUGAAUUCUAAUGUGUUAGCAGUAUGUCCUCUUUCAGGUCGGCAUUUACCUUAUGUUGCAUCCCUACAAGAAGUCGGGCAUCACCUUAUGUUUUUUACUCAAACUCUGUCUUCUCGAUCUGAUUUUCAGGUUGGCAUUUACCUUAUGACAUCCCUAAGGUAGGCAUCACCUUAUGUUUUUUACUCAAACUCUGCCUUUUCGAUCUGAUUUUCAGGUUGGCAUUUACCUUAUGUUACAUUCCUAAGGGAAGUCAGGCAUCACCUUAUGUUUUUUACUAAACUCUGUAUUUU
rnacentral:lncRNA from 1 species